UACGUGGGGGGCAAGCGUUGUCCGGAAUCAUUGGGCGUAAAGAGCGCGUAGGCGGCCCGGUAAGUCCGCUGUAAAAGUCCAGGGCUCAACCCUGGAAAGCCGGUGGAUACUGUCGGGCUAGAGUCCGGAAGAGGCGAGUGGAAUUCCUGGUGUAGCGGUGGAAUGCGCAGAUAUCAGGAGGAACACCGAUGGCGAAGGCAGCUCGCUGGGACGGUACUGACGCUGAGGCGCGAAAGCGUGGGGAGCGAACAGG
rnacentral:rRNA from 1 species